rnacentral:rRNA from 1 species
AUUGAACGCUGGCGGCAGGCCUAACACAUGCAAGUCGAACGAGUGGCGGAGGGGUGAGUAAUGGCUGGGAAACUGCCGGAUGGAGCGGGAUAACUAACGGAAACGGUACGUAAUACCGCAUACCAUCGGGUGAGCGCAGACGGGAUUAGCUAGUAGGUGGGGGAACGGCUCACCUAGGCGACGAUCCCUAGCUGGUCUGAGAGGAUGACCAGCCACACUGGAACUGAGACACGGUCCAGACUCCUACGGGAGGCAGCAGUGGGGAAUAUUGCACAAUGGGCGCAAGCCUGAUGCAGCCAUGCCGCGUGUAUGAAGAAGGCCUUCGGGUUGUAAAGUACUUUCAGCGGGGAGGCGUUACCCGCAGAAGAAGCACCGGCUAACUCCGUGCCAGCAGCCGCGGUAAUUC